rnacentral:RNase_P_RNA from 2 species
CAAGUAUGAAAGACGGUUGCGAGUCUAUAAGACUCGAGGAAAGUCCGAGCUCCAUAGGGCAGGAUGCCAGAUAACGUCUGGCGAGGGUAACCUUAGGGAAAGUGCCAUAGAAAAGGAAACCGCCACGUAAGUGGUAAGGGUGGAAAGGUGAGGUAAGAGCUCACCAGCAGUCUGGUAACAGGCUGGCUCGGUAAACCCCAUCCGGAGCAAGACCGAAUAGGGAAGGGU